CAAAUUUUAAAAAAUUAUGCCCAAGUAAUUGAAAAUAAAAAGAGUUAUGCUGCUACAUUAAGUGAAAAAAAAAGAAGCAUGGGAUUUCAUCGCAACCGACUUUAAUUCAUCUAGUAUAAUUACUGAAAGGCGAAACGCAGAUCAACUCAAAAACUUUGGUCAAAUCUAAAAACAAAACAACGGAAUGCGCUGACAACCAAAAGCAACAUCGCCUUGCAACUGGGGUCGGUCCAUCAAUUCCAGAUUCUGAAGUUGAUCCUGAUAUUUCCUUAUUGCCCCAAACUUAAUUAAAACUGCACCGAUUUUAUUUUCUUCAAAUAAGUCUGAAGAAGAAGUUACUAGGACGUUUUCAUCUUUUUUUCCUUCUCUAAGUGUAAUGCCGUUGACUCAAUGGAAUGGGAAGAAUACAUAAGCCUUGAACAACUAUUCCCAGAUGAUGAGAAUGAUGGCAAUGAUGAUGAAGAAUUACCACGUGAA